rnacentral:snoRNA from 1 species
AACAAAAACACUACCACAAUUUGAACUUGCUAUAGCAAGAAAUUCUAACCUAUUCUGGUGCUCUCUUCCCCAUGAGACAACCAUUAUAUAAUGCUCAAAGAA